rnacentral:lncRNA from 1 species
UCCGGUGUACAAGAGGGUGGAAACCGCCGCCUUAUGUGGCGGCCCCCGUGUAGAAUACCGACCGACCGACCGACCUUGCCCCUGUUUUGUUGCUAGGGCGCCUCGCAGGAGCGACGGUGUACAUAGUGGGGGACAUUAGUCCGCUCCGCGAGCAGCGGGCCCUGUCUGUGUAGCUUAAUUAAUUAUCCAGGUUUAGGAGGGAUGAUGAUGUUGGUGAUGCACCUUAGCUGAUUCGCCGGAAAGGCUCAUAUAUUCUUUGGUCUGGUUGUGGUGCAAGUUGCUCUGCUGCUGCUGCUGCUGCUUUUAACUGAGAUGGUUUGACCUGUUGAUAUAUGAUUGUUGGCUGUGAAACGUUUGGUUGGUGCCAAGUUGGUGGAUCUCUACUGUUUGUCGAAUACUGGAUGUUCCAUUUUCAGGAUCCUCUUGCAUUUCGUGAUCGAAUUUUGAUCGUCGAUUCGACCAAUAGUACAUGAGUUGCGUGGCGUAAAUACAAAUUAUACCAUUGAAAACUUCUUUUCAGAUAUGGUAUAGUUUUUCUCUUGUAGCGCAUAAUCCAAGCUUUGCUGGUUAAACAUGUUGAUCAGACUUGAACCUUGGAAUACGUGUGUGCAAUAUUUGUUUUCGGAAAGAAGAGGGCAUCAAGGCCAUUGCAAGGUAAUGGAUUUCUUUCAGUGUGUUCAUUCUUGUUUCAUGGGGAUAAACUCUGAAAUUUCCCGAAAGGAUUGAAAACCUCUCUAAAAUUUAAGGACGCACGUACACGGCCGUCUGGCUAGGGCCGAGGAAAAUACAAAUGAAUCCAAGACGAGGACGAGCAUCCACACGAUACCUAUUUGACUUAUGUUCCGCUGUUCACAAGUUUUCUUUUGUGAUUUUGCCUUGAUAGAUAGUUAAAAGAAACAGCCUUGCUAAAUCUUAGUCGAUUGAGACUUGGUCAAGUCUUAGACGAUGCUAUAUCCGUGAGAUUCUGCGUAAAGAUCUGUAUAGUUUUUUUUUUACUUUUUACUUU